UGCAUCGGCUGGGAAUCGAACCCAGGCCGCCCGCGUGGCAGGCGAGCAUUCUACCACUGAACCACCGAUGG
rnacentral:tRNA from 1 species